CACGCCUUCGCCGCUUUCAUUGGACGGCGGUUGCCCCUGGCAACGAGUAGCAACUUUUCUCCGCGGGGUGGACGCCAUUUUUAAUAGCGCGGGGGGGGGGGGGGACCGGCACCCGUACCCAGCGUUCGCCGGGUGGGAAAAUCAGGCAAGGCGGGAGGCUCUGCACGGUGCUAGGCCUCGACACCCAACACGCCACUCUGAGCGUCCCAUGAAAAAAUCCUGGGACUGGGUGAGUCUCGCCGUUCCCGUGGAACGGAGUGUCAAGUGACGUCUGAGCUGAUCCAGGCCUCCGACUUCACCAACCCAGACUGGCCAGCAAGCAGCUGAAAAGGUAAUUAAAGGCUCCGAAAGAAGAAUGGGCCUGGAGUGCCAGGAAAAUGUGCCAAAGGAGAAGAGAGAGAGAGAAAAAAUACCCCAUUCAUGACACAAUGGAACGUCACUCAGUAAUAGCACCAAUGUGGCACUUAUGUAUUUUCUUAUUUGACCUUUAAUAACGUAUUCAUGUAUAAUGUGUGUUUAUAUAAUGUGUAUAACCAGGCCCUAUAGAGACUACACUGUAAUAUAUAUUUUCAUUUAUUCUGGAGGUAUUUCUUGUUGAUCUAGUAAAAUGUAAUCUUAAUUAAUGCGUUUAAAUAAUCUGGGUUGACAAUAUUAUUUUAAGGGUAGUAUUUUGCAGCAAAUCACUGUGGUUUUAUUUUCAUGAGAAGCAUGAAUGCAUCGGUCUGUGAAAUGAGAAGUGCAGACUGUGAAUAUGCUUGCCAUUGCUUGUACUGUGCGAUAAUUAUGCUAGAACAGACAUUAUGUUUAUAUUCUUGCAAGUUUUAAUCCAUCCUGUGUUCUUUGGAAUCAAUUCACUGGUACACGAGGGCGACCAUGUCAAUCUUCACCACGCUGGUCAUUGUGGGUUGAUGUGAGCCAUAUCCAGGAGUAAGACAUGCCGUCGGGUUUACAGAGCAGUGCAAUAACGAGUGCAUAAGUUAUUGGCGUGAUGUGACGAUGUGUAUGAAAAUACAAUGCGCCCCACUCUCAUCGUUUUCACGAAAUUGAUUUAUGAAUGUGCCCAUGACGUCAGUGGUAUUAAUAAUGCAAUGAAUUUCCAGAACAACAUUGCAGGUUUGUUAUAUAUUGUCUGUGGGUUUCUUUAUUCUUUUAUGGAAUGGAAAAACAAUAUUGGAUUUUUUUUUCCUUCACGAUCAUUCCUUUAACGUGGCUCAUUUGUCAUUUACCCAAGAAAUUGAUAUGCUGUCAUACUUUGGCUGCAGAUGUAUUUACGAUUUGCUUCACUGUGAGACCAGCCCACAGUGUUGGGAAUUUGAAAACAUUGCCACAUUGCUGUGCGAACAUUUUCAUAAUGUACUUUUUUUAUCCAGCAGUGCAGUUCUUAAGAUCCACAACCCGUUCCCAAAUCUAAUCGAAAUAGAAUAUAAAAUACAAAUAACAGUUAAAAAAACAUGUGAAUGGGAUAUUUACAAGUACACACAUAUGCGCAAUUUGAACAAAGUCAUCUCAUCUUGUAUAGAUUAUUUCGUCAUUUUUGUAUGAUGAGAUUUCAGUCAGUAUAGGUACUCUUUAUAAUGUGCUGCAACCUAUGUCCGUGUG